CCAAUGUGAACGUUACAAACUGUUGCCUCGGCGGGGUCACGCCCCGGGUGCGUAAAAGCCCCGGAACCAGGCGCCCGCCGGAGGAACCAACCAAACUCUUUCUGUAGUCCCCUCGCGGACGUAUUUCUUACAGCUCUGAGCAAAAAUUCAAAAUGAAUCAAAACUUUCAACAACGGAUCUCUUGGUUCUGGCAUCGAUGAAGAACGCAGCGAAAUGCGAUAAGUAAUGUGAAUUGCAGAAUUCAGUGAAUCAUCGAAUCUUUGAACGCACAUUGCGCCCGCCAGUAUUCUGGCGGGCAUGCCUGUCCGAGCGUCAUUUCAACCCUCGAACCCCUCCGGGGGAUCGGCGUUGGGGAUCGGGACCCCUCACCGGGUGCCGGCCCUGAAAUACAGUGGCGGUCUCGCCGCAGCCUCUCCUGCGCAGUAGUUUGCACAACUCGCACCGGGAGCGCGGCGCGUCCACGUCCGUAAAACACCCAACUUCUGAAAUGUUGACCUCGGAUCAGGUAGGAAUACCCGCUGAACUUAAGCAUAUCAAUAAGCGGAGG
rnacentral:rRNA from 1 species